rnacentral:tRNA from 1 species
UGCAGAGAUUCUAUAUGUGGUGAUAGAGGUGCUCUGUAAAAGCAUUGGCUCUGGCCGAAGCAGGUUCGACUCCUGCCUCUGCAA